rnacentral:rRNA from 1 species
CGCAAUUGCGCCGUCUGGAGAUGAGUCUGCGUUCCAUUAGCUAGUUGGUGGGGUAAAGGCCUACCAAGGCAACGAUGGAUAGCCGGCCUGAGAGGGUGAACGGCCACAUUGGGACUGAGACACGGCCCAAACUCCUACGGGAGGCAGCAGCUAAGAAUCUUCCGCAAUGGACGAAAGUCUGACGGAGCGACGCCGCGUGGAUGAUGAAGGCCGAAAGGUUGUAAAAUCCUUUUAUAGAGGAGGAAUAAUUCCAGGAGUGGAAUGCCUGGAAGAUGACGUUAAUCUAUGAAUAAGCCCCGGCCAAUUACGUGCCAGCAGCCGCGGUAAUACGUAAGGGGCGAGCGUUGUUCGGAAUUAUUGGGCGUAAAGGGCUUGUAGGCGGUUUUAUAAGCUAGAUGUGAAAGAUCCAGGCUUAACCUGGGAAGCGCGUUUAGAACUGUAAGACUAGAGUUCAUAGGGGGAAACCGGAAUUCCUGGUGUAGGGGUGAAAUCUGUAGAUAUCAGGAAGAACACCAAAGGCGAAGGCAGGUUUCUAUGAAUGGACUGACGCUGAGGAGCGAAAGUGUGGGGAGCGAACAGGAUUAGAUACCCUGGUAGUCCACACUGUAAACGAUGUGCACUAGGCGUAUGGGGGUUACCCUGUGUGCCGGAGCUAACGCGUUAAGUGCACCGCCUGGGGAGUAUGCUCGCAAGGGUGAAACUCAAAGGAAUUGACGGGGGCCCGCACAAGCGGUGGAGCAUGUGGUUUAAUUCGACGAUACGCGAGGAACCUUACCAGAGCUUGACAUGUACUUGAAGUCAUAAGAGAUUAUGAUGUCCAGCAAUGGACAGGUACACAGGUGCUGCAUGGUUGUCGUCAGCUCGUGUCGUGAGAUGUUGGGUUAAGUCCCGCAACGAGCGCAACCCCUACUGUCUGUUACCAGCAUUUUGGAUGGGGACUCAGGCAGAACUGCCGGUGACAAACCGGAGGAAGGUGGGGAUGACGUCAAAUCAUCAUGGCCCUUAUGUCCUGGGCUACACACGUGCUACAAUGGUCGGUACAAAGCGUAGCAAGACGGCGACGUCAAGCAAAUCGCAAAAAACCGAUCUCAGUUCGGAUUGGAGUCUGAAACUCGACUCCAUGAAGUUGGAAUCGCUAGUAAUCGCGCAUCAGAAUGGCGCGGUGAAUACGUUCCCGGGCCUUGUACACACCGCCCGUCACACCACCCGAGUUGGGGAUACCCGAAGUCGCUAGUCUAACUUCGUGAGGACGGCGCCGAAGGUAUGCUUGGUAAGGGGGGUGAAGUCGAACAAGGUA